rnacentral:rRNA from 1 species
UACGUAGGGUCCGAGCGUUGUCCGGAAUUAUUGGGCGUAAAGGGCUCGUAGGCGGUUUGUCGCGUCGGGAGUGAAAACACGGGGCUUAACCCCGUGCCUGCUUGCGAUACGGGCAGACUAGAGGUAUGCAGGGGAGAACGGAAUUCCUGGUGUAGCGGUGAAAUGCGCAGAUAUCAGGAGGAACACCGGUGGCGAAGGCGGUUCUCUGGGCAUUACCUGACGCUGAGGAGCGGAAGCGUGGGGAGCGAACAGG